rnacentral:rRNA from 1 species
UAGGGAAUCUUCCGCAAUGGACGAAAGUCUGACGGAGCAACGCCGCGUGAGUGAUGAAGGUUUUCGGAUCGUAAAGCUCUGUUGUUAGGGAAGAACAAGUACCGUUCGAACAGGGCGGUACCUUGACGGUACCUAACCAGAAAGCCACGGCUAACUACGUGCCAGCAGCCGCGGUAAUACGUAGGUGGCAAGUGUUGUCCGGAAUUAUUGGGCGUAAAGGGCUCGCGGGCGGUUUCUUAAGUCUGAUGUGAAAGCCCCCGGCUCAACCGGGGAGGGUUAUUGGAAACUGGGGAACUUGAGUGCAGAAGAGGAGAGUGGAAUUCCACGUGUAGCGGUGAAAUGCGUAGAGAUGUGGAGGAACACCAGUGGCGAAGGCAGUCACUUGGUCCAUUACUGACGCUAAAGCACGAAAGCGUGGGUAGCAAACA